UGCGCCACCGCCUGGAUCAACCGUGCCUCCCACGCGUCUCUCCUGGAGGAUUCCCGACAGCAGCUCCGCCCUGCCUAGCGGAGGAGGCUAGAUGUUCAAGCUCUCCCCAGAUCUACCUUCGGGGUGAACAGGCUGCGUUGGUGAGGGUAUGGCUUGGAAUUAGUUAGAUCCUUGGGUCCACAACAGCCUCACCAGUUUUGUCUCUCACAACCUUUGAACUGUUGGAGAUCCGGGCUCGGAACCCUGGGAACACGCGUGCGCAGUACGUCCUGUUCAGCCACCCUGGGGGCCGUGGACGGUCGAACCACCUGAAUAUCCUCCUGGGUGCAGGGGGCCUCCCUCCCAGUAUGACCUGAUGAUGCACCUGCAAAGGCACUAUGGCAAGGCAGUGUAUGCCUCCUCUUCUUGGGAAGUUCUCAUGGCAGUGAUGGGACUUGAAGAAGACAUCUGACAGCUUCGGGGACAAGGAGAAACACAGACAUCAUUACCUGCAGACCCCUUGAGUUUUCUUCCAGUUCCUGAGGGCUGUGGGAUUCGGGACGGGAAGCAUCUGAAAGACGAUUUCAAAGGAAGCAGAUGACACUUGCACGGGACUGCAUUUUGGUCUAUGCUCAAAGUGAUGAAGUUGAUUUGCAUCAUUCUGCCACUAACGCUGAAGCGUCCUGCUCCUGGAAACCCCCGCCAGAGAUGCGGAGUUUAC